GCCUGGAUAGCUCUGUUGGUUAGAGUGUGGUGCUGAUAAUGCCAAGGUUGCAGGUUCGAUCCCUGUAUGGGGCA